UACAGAGGCCUCAAGCGUUGUUCGGAUUCAUUGGGCGUAAAGGGCGCGUAGGCGGCGGGGUCAGUCGGGUGUGAAAUCUUGGGGCUUAACCCCGAAACGGCACUCGAAACUGCCCGGCUGGAGGGCCGGAGAGGAGAUCGGAAUUCACGGUGUAGCAGUGAAAUGCGUAGAGAUCGUGAGGAAGACCCGUGGCGAAGGCGGAUCUCUGGACGGCUAACUGACGCUGAGGCGCGAAGGCCAGGGGAGCAAACGGG
rnacentral:rRNA from 1 species